rnacentral:lncRNA from 1 species
CCAAUUUAUGAUUCAUGUUAGAUUGAUUUAAGCAUCAACCUAAUAGCAUAAUCGAACUAAACAAAUCUAUUAAUUCAAUUCAGUUUUCAAACUAGUAUGAUAGGAUAAAAUUAUAGACCAAUCUUAACCAAAAACAAAAUACCGAUAAACCCAAUCAAGUUCAUUGUGUUAUCAUUUUCAAGUAAAUUGGUAAAAACUGGUAAUAACUCUGAAAAAGUAAAAAAAUUAAACGGGCACAAUAAAGACUCAGGUAAUGGCCUAAUAGUAGUGGAUAAUGUUAUAAACUACUCUUAUCGAUAAAUGAAAAUCAAGGAAAAAAUUUAAAAGAAAAAAAGGAUCCCACUAUAUAUAUAUUAAUUUAAAAAAAAAUAGAAUAUCUAACAGUAUAGCCGUGCGGCUAUACUCUAUAAAUGACUACGAGAUAGAAUGGAUCUCCUUGAAUUCAUUCGAACACGACCGUUUUCUAGCCCCUCUCUCUCGCUCAGAUAACCGACGACCUCUCUUCUUCAAUCCUCAUCUCUCUCUCUCUCUCUCUCUCUCUCUCUCUCUCUCUCUCUCUCAUAGCACCAUCGUCAUCUCGUCCCUGACCUUGGAGAUUCCAAAAUGGCUUGUUUUUUU